AUUGAACGCUGGCGGCAGGCCUAACACAUGCAAGUCGAGCGAGCGGCGGACGGGUGAGUAAUGUCUGGGAAACUGCCUGAUGGAGGGGGGUAACUACUGGAAACGGUAGCUAAUACCCCAUACUAUCAGAUUUGCCCAGAUGGGAUUAGCUAGUAGGUGGGGUAACGGCUCACCUAGGCGACGAUCCCUAGCUGGUCUGAGAGGAGGACCAGCCACACUGGAACUGAGAAACGGUCCAGACGCCUACGGGAGGCAGCAGUGGGGAAUAUUGCGCAAUGGGCGCAAGCCUGAUGCAGCCAUGCGGCGUGUGUGAAGAAGGCCUUCGGGUUGUAAAGCACUUUCAGCGGGGAGGCGUUACCCGCAGAAGAAGCACCGGCUAACUCCGUGCCAGCAGCCGCGGUAAUAC
rnacentral:rRNA from 1 species